rnacentral:misc_RNA from 1 species
CUUUGAUGUCAUAAUUUAGAUUCUGCUUGAAUUUGCCCUCCCUGUCUUUGAAGUUGUCGAAUACUCCUGCAAGCACAUAGUAACCCUCUUGUCUCAACAGUCGAAAGCGAAGGGCAGCCUCAUGGAGAUCAUUAUAAUUAUUAGUGCUAUGUAUCAUAUGGUGCCUUUCCAGAAUUGAAUCAAUUUCUUCUUGGAAAUGAUACUCAAUGCCUAAGCGUUGGAUGGCAUCAACCAUGGCCAAACCUUCGAAUGCAUCUGCACGCUCUUUGCUUAGCAUGCUUCAACGCCUUCAACUUUUUAUGAUGAUUCUUGAUGUGAAAAUCAUCUUUAAUAAUGCAGGGCUGUUCAUCAGUUAGAUAGACCAAGUGAUUUGAGGAAGUAGAAGGCAAUGUGUUUUCUUGGGUGAUGCUCCAGUUUUCAGGAACAAUGGNNNNNNUGGUUGAAACACUUUGGAGUGCGGUUUUGAGGAAAUGGAAUGGGAGAUGAAAUAAAGGUUGCUUUAGAAGAGAAGGCCAUUGUGAGGGAGAGAUCUUUCAAAAAUCA